CCAAUAGCGUAUAUUAAAGUUGUUGCAGUUAAAAAGCUCGUAGUUGAGUUUCGGGGUUAGUAGGUUGGUCAUGCCUCUGGUAUGUACUGGUCUCACUGAUUCCUCCUUCCUGAUGAGCCGUAAUGCCAUUAAUUUGGUGUUGCGGGGAAUUUGGACUGUUACUUUGAAAAAAUUAGAGUGUUUAAAGCAAGCUAACGCUUGAAUACAUUAGCAUGGAAUAAUGAAAUAGGACGUUCGAUCCUAUUUUGUUGGUUUCUAGGAUUGACGUAAUGAUUAAUAGGGAUAGUUGAGGGCAUUAGUAUUCAAUUGUCAGAGGUGAAAUUCUUGGAUUUAUUGAAGACUAACUACUGCGAAAGCAUUUGCCAAGGAUGUUUUCAUUAAUCAAGAACAAAAGUUAGGGGAUCGAAGACGAUCAGAUACCGUCGUAGUCUUAACCAUAAACUAUGCCGACUAGGGAUCGGAUGAUGUUAAUUUUUUAAUGACUCAUUCGGCGCCUUACG
rnacentral:rRNA from 1 species